GAGACUUGGGAGUACAGUAACACCAGGAUAUGUGUCUGGGUGAUGACUGGAGAGGUGACUGCUGGGAAUGGGACAUAAUACAGUAACACCAGGGGAUGUGUCUGGGUGAUGACUGUAUCACUGUGUGUGUCAGGUUCCUAUAAGACAGAGCUGGCCAAACUAGUCCUCGAGAUCUACCAACAGUUCACAUUUUCCAGACCACCUAGCUGGUGCACAGGUGUAGUCAUUACUAAUUAAGAUGUGCUGAAUUCAUUCCUAACUGACAAUUCUACAGAUCUCCAGGAGGCCUGGAAAACAUGAACUGUUGGUAGAUCUCGAGGACCGGUUUGGCCAGCCCUGCUAUAAGGUGUCAGGAUGUCACUGUCUAUGUCUCCAUGCAGGAGGAGGAGUAUAUAGAGGAACACAGGGUUCUGUAUGAGGACGUGAUGAUGGAGAAUCACCGGCCCCUCACAUCACUGGAUGGGCCCAGUAACAGAGAUACCCCAGAGAGAUGUUCCCGUCCUCUGUAUUCCCAGGAUUGUACAGAGGAGAAUCACAGGAUCCCACAGGAGGAUCAGGUAGAACGUCUUUCUCGUAUAAAGGCAGAAGAUAUAGAGGAAGAAGAAGAAACGUAUGUGACUGAUAUUAAGGUAGAAGAUACAGAGGGAGAAGAAGAGACGUAUGUGACUUAUAUGAAGACAAGAUAUAGAGGGAGAAGAAGAGACGUAUGUGACUGAUAUAAAGGCAGAAGAUAUAGAGGGAGAAGAAGAGACGUAUGUGACUGAUAUAAAGGCAGAAGAUAUAGAGGGAGAAGAAGAGACGUAUGUGACUGAUAUAAAGGCAGAAGAUAUAGAGGGAGAAGAAGAGACAUAUGUGACUGAUAUAAAGGCAGAAGAUAUAGAGGGAGAAGAAGAGACAUAUGUGACUGAUAUAAAGGCAGAAGAUAUAGAGGGAGAAGAAGAGACAUAUGUGACUGAUAUAAAGGCAGAAGAUAUAGAGGGAGAAGAAGAGACGUAUGUGAGGGGUGAUCAGCAGUGUAAGGAGGAGGAGAUCCCUACAGAUAUCAGCA